UCACUCUGGUUUCCCUUCAAAACGCAUAAAUCUUUCGCCUUUUACUAAAGAUUUCCGUGGAGGGGAACACUCAAAUGAGUCUUCCUAAAUUUUUGUAAUGCCUUACUUCGGUGAGGCU
rnacentral:snRNA from 1 species